rnacentral:rRNA from 1 species
AGUCAUAUGCUUGUCUCAAAGAUUAAGCCAUGCAUGUCUAAGUACAAGCCUCAUUAAGGUGAAACCGCGAAUGGCUCAUUAAAUCACACCUAAUGCACUGGACAGUCUCAGUUACUUGGAUAACUGCGGUAAUUCUGGAGCUAAUACAUGCUUAUUGUCCGCGACUCACGGAGCGGUGCUUUUAUUAGAUCAAAACCAAACGGCUCUCGGGCCGUCCCCCUGGUGAUUCUGAAUAACUUUUGGCUGAUCGCACGGCCUCGGUGCCGGCGACGUGUCCUUCCAAGGUGUGCCCUAUCAACUGUCGACUGUGGCAUAGACGCCCACAGUGGUUUUGACGGGUAACGGGGAAUUAGGGUUCGAUUCCGGAGAGGGAGCCUGAGAAACGGCUACCACUUCUACGGAAGGCAGCAGGCACGCAAAUUACCCACUGGCCGAAGGCCGAGGUAGUGACGAAAAAUAACGAUACGGGACUCAUCCGAGGCCCCGUAAUCGGAAUGAGUACACUUUAAAUCCUUUAACGAGGAACAAU